rnacentral:lncRNA from 1 species
UUGGGGGCUAAUUCUGAGGUUUAUUGUGACCCAGAAGGGUCCAACAGCACAUGAACAAAGCCAGCCAACGAGAGCACCCGAGAGGUGCUUGCCACAAGUUAUAUACAGGGAGGACCAGCCAAUGGGGAGACAUUAGGGAGUGGUUCUUGUGGGGAUUGACAUAUAAGGGAACCAGUGAGGGAUAGACAGGGAAGGGGCCCUAGGCCCUAAUCCAAUCACUCGGCACCCAGGAUGGAAGCUUCUAGAUGUAGGGGACAGGACACCGAGUGACAGACAAGGCAGCUGGGAGGGGACAGGGGAAUGACUAAGUACUUUCUGGGGAGACUGACACAUUAGGGAAGGCAGGAAAACUCAGGGAGAAACCAAUACAAUGUGGGGGUAUACAGGAACAAAUGAUUACAGGAUGAAAAUGCAAUAAAACAUAAAAAAAAACGCAACUCCACAUCUCCCCCUUUUUUGUUUAAAAAGAAAGAAAGAGGGAGCGAAAUGAAUUUUAAAUGGGGGAAUCACUGUCCAUUGGCUCAUCUUGGAACCAGAUGUCUUGUUCCUGGUGUUCUGCUUGGUUGAGGGGUUCCUUCUUUGAUGGUGAGGCCAAUGUGCCCUGAUUGAUGUUAAUUGUGGAGUUGAUUGCCUUUAAAAUUAAUUUUUUUACAAUACUAAAACCAAUAAUGAAAACAACAAGGGCUAACGGAAGAACAAGUCCUGUCCGAAUGAUGGAUUGGAUCCAACCAGAGAGUCCACUCCUUGGAAGAUUGACCCCAGACAGUCUGAUGAGUCUUUUUUAAGGUUAUGGAUCAUAUCUUGCAUUUUGGAUAUUGUAGCGCGGACGUCCUCAGUCUUAGAACUCAAAUUCCUACAACAUAAUCCGGCAAAUUCCUCACAUUUGUGAUUAUGUAAAAGUAAGAGAAAAUCAGUUGCGGCACGGUUUUGGAGGGUUGCCUGCCUCGUUGUUUCCUCAUGUGCUAGGAGGUCGGCUAGGACAGAUGAAGUAAGAUUUGCUUGUUUAGCCACCCGACAUUUGAAGUGAGCCAAUUCCCCAAUGCUCUGCGCAAUUGCCACCCACAUUAAAAAAAGGGGAGGGAUGUGCUUUUCAUAGUUGACCAAUGAACAACUUCAUCUUUGCAAUUUGAGUCCCAUUCUGUAAUACUAGUGUCUCUUUUUUGACGCGCCAAUUGCCCUAUCUGAUUUAGAUCCCUCCAAUGAGAAAUUUGGGGUUUAUUUAGGGUAAAGAAGCUCAACUGCCCGAAUGUACAAGGACCUCCGACCAGGUGAGGGGGGUGCCUGCCCAAGCCCGAUUACCACAGAUAAGGAAUGUGCCCUUGGGUAAUGCAUGGGGUUUGUUAUCAGAGAUGGAGAAGCCAGGGAUUUGAAGCACUCUUUUACACCAUUCCUUAGCUGUAUAUUCAGGGAUUGAUUGCUUUAUUUUGGUACGCAGUUGGGCAAGGGGGUUGGAGGAAACAACAAAAUGAAUACAAGUGUAGGCAAGGGAGCAACCAAGUAAUUCUAAUUCUUUGGGGUUCUUUUCCAUGACUAGGAAUGCUUUGACCCACUUCCUCCACGCAUCUGGUUGUUUAACAACAUGGACGAUGAAGAAGCGGGUCUUUUCUCAAGGGGCAGAGACAUUUUUGGGAAAAGUAAAAGGAAACUCAUUUAAGAGAUAUGGGAUCCCCAUGAGGCAGGACAGGAGGGGGUUGGAAGCUGAGGAGGUAGACAAACAUAAAUGAUCUUGAUUUAAAGACUUGGCCAAAGUGGUCCACAC